UGAGGAAUAUUGGUCAAUGGGCGCAAGCCUGAACCAGCCAUCCCGCGUGAAGGAAGAAUGCGCUAUGCGUUGUAAACUUCUUUUCCAGGGGAAUAAAAUUUCGUACGUGUACGGGACUGAAGGUACCUUGGGAAUAAGCAUCGGCUAACUCCGUGCCAGCAGCCGCGGUACUACGGAGGAUGCGAGCGUUAUCCGGAUUUAUUGGGUUUAAAGGGUGCGUAGGCGGAAAAAUAAGUCAGUGGUGAAAGCCUUCAGCUUAACUGGAGACUUGCCAGUGAUACUGUGAUUCUUGAGUAUAGUUAAGGUAGGCGGAAUGUGUAAUGUAGCGGUGAAAUGCUUAGAUAUUACACAGAACACCAAUUGCGAAGGCAGCUUACUGGGCUAUAACUGACGCUGAUGCACGAAAGCGUGGGGAGCGAACA
rnacentral:rRNA from 1 species